UCUGAGUAUACUGGGUCACUGAGAGGGCAAUCCGGAUUGUAUAUCGUUGUUGGUUUUACUAUUACAAUGUAUUCCGGAAAAGACCGGGUUGGGGUUUGAGUGUUAAUAAAAAUGACAGACGUUGAGUAGCAUGUGUUUUGACUUUGUGAUAAGUGAUCGCAAUGUAGACUAUAUGCAUAAACACUCAGGACAGUAAAUGAGUGAUACAACAUUAUGUAAAUUUACCUAGUUUCACUGUCAUGAUCGUGUGUAGGAUUGGACAAAACAAGAUGGCAGACGGCAUUUCCAAACAAAGAUCCAGUCAGGAGCGGACUUCCUUAAGCUUAAAAGUUGCAAGUGAAUGAAGUGUGUUCUAUUUUAUGUCUCCUACUAAAACCAUGGUUUUGACAAACCUAAAAGAGCACGUGGAGCAAGGAACUAUCAGUAAGCCGGAAGAGCCAGCUCGAAAAUCUUUAAGUGUUUGAGAAUUUCACCGCGCACAUGAAUCUAAAGUUCUGCCACACGUUAGAAGGAGCCUUGUUCUCGAAGAUCAACGUGUUGAAAAGUCUUCAUUUUGCAGAAGCAAAUACAUUUAUAUUGUAUAUACACAUGUAAACCAUGUUCGAUUCCCAACCACUUAAGGUUUGUGAUAUCUGCAUGGAAUUAUUAAAACUGAGCAUGGUUUGACGUAUAAUAAUCUCUUCAGGCAUGAUGGUUUACAUUUCACAAAGCUGUUCAAUGACAAUAAAGACUAUAAGAUGU